UACGAAGGGGGCUAGCGUUGUUCGGAAUCACUGGGCGUAAAGGGAGCGUAGGCGGGUUCUUAAGUUAGGUGUUUAAUCCCGGGGCCCAACCCCGGACCGGCACUUAAAACUGGGAAUCUUGAAUAGUGGAGAGGUCAGUGGAAUUGGGGGUGUAGCGGUGGAAUGCGUAGAGAUCCCCAAGAACACCAGUUGCGAAGGCGGCUGACUGGACACAUAUUGACGCUGAGGCUCGAAAGCAUGGGGAGCAAACAGGG
rnacentral:rRNA from 1 species